rnacentral:rRNA from 1 species
AGGACGAACGCUGGCGGCGCGCUUAACACAUGCAAGUCGAGCGAGAACCGGUCCUUCGGGACUGGGGAAAGCGGCGAACGGGUGAGUAACACGUGGGUAAUCAACCCUUGGUACCGGGAUAGCCCGAGGAAACUCGGAUUAAUACCGGAUGGCCCAACAGCUCUUCGGGGCGGUUGGAAAAGGUAGCUUCGGCCUCCGACCAAGGACGAGCCCGCGGCGGAUUAGCUUGUUGGUGAGGUAACUGCUCACCAAGGCGACGAUCCGUAGCUGGUCUGAGAGGACGAUCAGCCACACUGGGACUGAGACACGGCCCAGACUCCUACGGGAGGCAGCAGUGGGGAAUCUUGCACAAUGGACGAAAGUCUGAUGCAGCAACGCCGCGUGGGGGAUGAAGCUUCUCGGAGUGUAACCCCUUUCGACCCGGAAGAAUGCCCGCAAGGGUAUGACGGUACGGGUAUAAGAAGCCCGGCUAACUACGUGCCAGCAGCCGC